GUGUUUUCUCAUUCAUCACUACCGUUUCCAUUACCUCUUCCUCUUUCUCAUUCCUUUUUCAAACCUCGAAACCAAACAAGGGUUUUCUUUUCUCUUCUUUUUUAAUUUUCCUUUUCUCCUCUAUUUCAAUUUUCACGCCUCAAUUUUCUCGUCCCUUCAAUAAAAAAAUUUCGUCUUUGAUUCUCAGCAAAACCAUUUUUUUUUCUCCCGAGGAUUAAAUUUCCCUGUAAUUUCCAGUCCUGGGGCGUGUUCGUUUUCUUCAAGUGUUCGAAUGGAGCGAAGCAAAAGGAAUCUCUGUGUUGUUAUUCUCUCGUAGUUCAUGGCUACCCAUGAUGGUUUUUGGCUGAAAGUUGCUAACUUGCUGACUCGGUUUUACUGACCCGAGUGGUAGAAGAAGGAUAGGGGGAAUAGUCGGAGUGAUUACUGAAGAAGUGGGGUUUAGGGUUUUUGGCGUGGUUGUGAAUUUGUGAUUGAAUUAGGGUUGUUGAGUGCAUGAGAGGUAGAAUUGCGUUGUGAUGGAUGUGGAGGAAACUGGGGAGUUGGUGUCUUUGGACCCAGAUAUGUUGCAGCUUCAGGAGGUGUCUCCUUUUGCACUGAAAUCGAGUCCUUACGUUGCUGAGGAGCUAUUCUCACAGUGGCUUUCGCUUCCAGAUACUUGUCGCCUGGUUAAGUCAUUGCUUGCUGAUGCAAAGGCAGGAGCUCCUUUGAGUGCAGUUGAGAACUCAACAAAUACAAAUGCUCUGUUGAGUAACUCAUUACCUUCCUUGUUUCCUGCUGGGAGUACACCACCACUUUCACCACGCAGUUCAUCUGGUUCCCCACGUACCACGAAACAGAGAACUAGUCCUUCUUCAUUAGGUUCUCCACUAAAAUUAGCCAGUGAACCUGUAAGGGAAGUCAUUCCUCAGUUCUACUUCAAAAAUGGUCGUCCACCGCCAAAUGAAAUGAAAGAGCAUUUUCUGUUUCAAAUUGAUAAUCGAUUCUAUGGUCAUUCAGAUGGUCUGCAGUUACAUGAUUUUAAGUCUGUUAUGAAAGAGAUCUGCAAACUUCCCUCAUUUUUCUCCACUGCUCUUUUAAAAAAGAUUGAUGUCAAUUUUACAGGAACCAUAACAAGGGAUCAAUUUAUUGACUAUUGGAUUCGGGGCAACAUGUUAGCUAUGGAUUUAGCCACACAAAUAUAUACCAUAUUGAAGCAACCAUAUCGAUCAUACCUUGUACAGGAUGAUUUCAAACCUGUCCUGAGGGAACUGUUGUCCACACAUCCUGGAUUGGAGUUUUUGCAAGGCACACCUGAAUUUCAGGAAAGAUAUGCUGAGACUGUCAUACAUAGAAUAUUUUACUACAUGAAUAGAUCGGGAAAUGGUCGACUUACCCUGAGGGAAUUGAAACGUGGGAACCUAAUUGAUGCAAUGCAGCAUGUAGAUGAAGAAGAGGACAUUAACAAAGUUCUGAGGUACUUCUCAUAUGAGCAUUUUUAUGUCAUUUACUGCAAAUUUUGGGAGCUCGACACGGAUCAUGACUUUUUUAUUGAUAAAGAGAACCUUAUUAAAUAUGGCAACCAUUCUCUUACAUAUCGGAUUGUUGAUAGAAUUUUUUCCCAGGUUCCACGUAAAUUUACCAGUAAAGUUGAAGGGAAGAUGAACUACGAAGAUUUUGUUUAUUUUAUACUUGCUGAGGAAGAUAAGUCAUCUGAACCUAGUCUAGAAUACUGGUUCAAAUGCAUUGAUUUGGAUGGAAAUGGAGUGCUGACACCAAAUGAAAUGCAGUUCUUUUAUGAGGAGCAGUUGCAUCGCAUGGAGUGCAUGGCUCAAGAGCCUGUACUAUUUGAAGAUAUAUUGUGCCAGAUUGUUGAUAUGAUUGGACCAGAGAAUGAGGGAUAUAUUACAUUAAGAGAUGUUAAAGGCAGCAAACUUUCUGGAAAUGUUUUCAAUAUUCUUUUCAAUCUAAACAAGUUUAUCACUUUUGAGACUCGUGAUCCAUUUCUCAUACGUCAGGAACGUGAGGAUCCAAAUUUGACAGAGUGGGAUCGUUUUGCGCAUAGAGAGUAUAUUAGGCUUUCCAUGGAAGAAGAUGGUGAAGAUAUGUCAAAUGCCAGUGGGGACGUCUGGGAAGAAUCACUUGAGGCCCCAUUCUGAGAUUUAUUAGGGUAUCACUAGAAGUUCUCAUGUCAAUGUCACAUCUUUUCACAAUAUCAAGAGAUCACAUCUUUUCACAAUAUCAAGAGAUUUGCUAUCUGUAAGGUGAAUCAAAGGCGGCGAUGCUUCUGGAAUCUAGUUUCUGGAUAUGCAAUUUCAAGCCAUAUAAUAUUUGAAGAGGCCUUCUUGGUGGUAAAUAUCUCCUAAUACAGAGGUUCCCUUCAAAUCUGUUUUCUGAAGAAACUAAGAAUGGCAAGUGCAGAUUUAUUAUUCUUGUUCAUAGACAUGUUUCUUAGAAUUAUCCGUAUCAAAUUAAAUUUCUGUAAAAAAUCUGGAGUUUUCCUUUUAGUUUUCUUUGUUUUUAUGUUUGUUAUCUUUUUCCCUUUACAAAUUUUAUCACGAUCAAUUGUAUCAAAUUAUCAACAUUUUUUAUUUUUUUUUGGUUAUAAUAUAGUGAAGAGAAAAUGC